AAGAACUUCGGCCUUUGCUUAUGAAUGGGAGCUUAAACGUGGCGUUGGUUUCGGCAAAAAAGAUAGUUUCUUCAUUUCAACUUCUGGUGGCAGCCAACAUAGCCCUGCACAACCAGGCAGAUGGCUCACUGAAAACAAGGAAUAUCAACUCAGAGAUCAUAUUCUCUCUGUCCCCAGGAAAACAGAUAUCUGAGGCGUUUCGGUCGUUGGGCGCGGCGGCCGACGACGCGACGGUGGCCGCUGUGGCCGUGGAGGACGCGGCCAGGCUGGCGCCCUUGCACGAGGCUCUGGAUGGCACAGCUGUCCAU